AUUGAACGCUGGCGGCAUGCUUUACACAUGCAAGUCGAACGGUAACAGGGAGCUUGCUCCGCUGACGAGUGGCGAACGGGUGAGUAAUGCGUCGGAACGUGCCGAGUAGUGGGGGAUAACGCAUCGAAAGGUGUGCUAAUACCGCAUACGUACUGAGGUAGAAAGUGGGGGACCUUCGGGCCUCACGCUAUUCGAGCGGCCGACGUCUGAUUAGCUAGUUGGUGAGGUAAAGGCUCACCAAGGCGACGAUCAGUAGCGGGUCUGAGAGGAUGAUCCGCCACACUGGGACUGAGACACGGCCCAGACUCCUACGGGAGGCAGCAGUGGGGAAUUUUGGACAAUGGGCGCAAGCCUGAUCCAGCCAUGCCGCGUGUCUGAAGAAGGCCUUCGGGUUGUAAAGGACUUUUGUCCGGGAGCAAAUGCCUGGUGUUAAUAGCACUGGGAGCUGAGAGUACCGGAAGAAUAAGCACCGGCUAACUACGUGCCAGCCGCCGCCGUAAAAC
rnacentral:rRNA from 1 species